rnacentral:rRNA from 1 species
UACAGAGGGGGCAAGCGUUGUUCGGAAUUACUGGGCGUAAAGGGCUCGUAGGCGGCCAACUAAGUCAGACGUGAAAUCCCUCGGCUUAACCGGGGAACUGCAUCUGAUACUGGAUGGCUUGAGUUCGGGAGAGGGAUGUGGAAUUCCAGGUGUAGCGGUGAAAUGCGUAGAUAUCUGGAGGAACACCGGUGGCGAAGGCGGCAUCCUGGACCGACACUGACGCUGAGGAGCGAAAGCCAGGGGGGCAAACGGG